rnacentral:lncRNA from 1 species
AUAUAGGAGUAGCAUUAUGUAAAUGAUUAUAUACGGCUCAAUGGAAUAUUAUGCAGCCAUUAAAAAUGUUUAUGAAAAGUUUAUAAAUGAAAAAUGCUUACAUUAUGAUUGAAGUAAGCAGGACGUAAUAUUUUAUGCUAUGGUCCCAGCUGUGUAAAUACAGGCUACUAAGUAUGCAGAGAAAAAGUUUGCAAGGAAACACACCAAAAUAUUAACAGUAGGUGUUGGGAAUAGGAAUGAUUUUAUUUUUCUUUCAACUUCUCAUGGCUUUAAGAAAAACCAAAACAACCCCUUUAUUUUGUUCUGAUGAAAAGUUAAUGCUUUCAUUGAAUAAAAUUAUAAACAUUAAAGAAAUAUGUCAUGUAGAAAGGUAACCCUUAUUCAUUGCUCUAUUUGCAUUUCUCUAACACGUGUUUUCGAAAUUAAUUUAUUAUGAGAAUAUCAGACCAGACUAUUUUUGAAGAAGCUGUACAUAUUCUUUUUGUCUUGUAGAAUUGUUUUGCUUUUUUUUUUUUUUUUAAAUAGAUGUAUCCUAAAACAAAUUAAGUUCUAUAUAAGGCAAUUGUAGUCAGCAUUAUGGUAUCUAGACUUUUCUAUAUAAGAGAGAAGAGGAGAACAAGCGCAGCUACUAGGAAAAUAGACCUGAUUUUGCUUGUUAUCAAAUAGGCAUUACUAUCGAGUCUGGAAUUUCUUUUUUCUUUUUUUUUUUGUUUUUUUGAGACAGAGUCUUGCUCUGUCACCUAGGCUGGAGUGCCGUGAUACGAUCUCAGCUCACUGCAACCUCCGUCUUCCAGGUUUAACUGAUUCUCCUGCCUCACUCAGCCUCCCGAGUAGCUGGAAUUACAGGCGUGCGCCACGAAGCCUGGCUAAUUUUUGGUAGAGACAGGGGUUUCACCACGUUGGCCAGGCUGGUCUCGAACUCCUGACCUCAGGUGAUCCACCCGCCUCGGCCUCCCAAAGUGCUGGAAUUACAGGCAUGAGCCACCAAGCCAGGCCAAGUCUGGAAUUUCUUAGAUGUGGAGUAAAGUCAGUCUGUUAACCAGGUCCUUGUUAUUCUAGAUAAUUCUUAUUGAUUCAAAAAUUGUUUUUCUGUGAGUUCCUUCAGAACGAGGUCAUAUGAGCUUUACAUCUCUCUUUCUCCCAUAUCACACGGGGCUUGCUCAGUAGCAGGCACGUAAUUAAACUUACAAAAGGACUGAAAGUUUGACGCAUGAUUCUUUCUUCUCCAGGAGAAAGGGUUACUGAGAGAUCAUGUUCACAAAUUAAUAUGCA